GGGGAAUAUUGCACAAUGGGGGAAACCCUGAUUGCAGCCAUUGCCGCGUGUGUUGAAGAAGGCCUUCGGGUUGUAAAGCACUUUCAGUUAGGGAGGAAGGUAGUGUAGUUAACACCUGCAUUAUUUUGACGUUUACCUACAGAAGAAGCACCGGCUAACUCCGUGCCAGCAGCCGCGGUAAUACGGAGGGUGCGAGCGUUUAAUCGGAAUUACUGGGCGUAAAGCGCAUGCAGGCGGCCUGUUAAGUCAGAUGUGAAAGCCCGGGGCUUAACCUCGGAAUUGCAUUUGAAACUGGCAGGCUAGAGUCUUGUAGAGGGGGUAGAAUUUCAGGUGUAGCGGUGAAAUGCGUAGAGAUCUGAAGGAAUACCAGUGGCGAAGGCGGCCCCCUGGACAAAGACUGACGCUCAGAUGCGAAAGCGUGGGGAGCAAACAGGAUUAGAUACCCUGGUAG
rnacentral:rRNA from 1 species